rnacentral:sRNA from 2 species
UAGGUGCGAGCACCACCGCGGCAGGGGCGGGGGAACCAGGUAGUACGGCCGGGCGACCGGCCUUGGGGUGAAGCGAGAUCCCCGGUCUCGCAGGACACUCUCCGUGUCCUAACCCGACAGCUCACCCCGCAGAUGACAUCGGAGAGGCCCA